rnacentral:tRNA from 1 species
GAGACCCUGGCUCAAUGGUAGAGCGUUCGACUCAAAUACCAAAGGUCGCGGGUUCGAUUCCCAAAUGUCCCA